UACAGGGGGGGCAAGCGUUGUUCGGAAUUACUGGGCGUAAAGGGCUCGUAGGUGGCCAACUAAGUCGGACGUGAAAUCCCUCAGCUUAACUGGGGAACUGCAUCCGAUACUGGAUGGCUUGAGUUUGGGAGAGGGAUGCGGAAUUCCUGGUGUAGCGGUGAAAUGCGCAGAUAUCAGGAGGAACACCGGUGGCGAAGGCGGGUCUCUGGGCCGAUACUGACGCUGAGGAGCGAAAGCGUGGGGAGCGAACAGG
rnacentral:rRNA from 1 species